GAUUAAAACUUAUUAUUAUAAUAAUUUUAUUUAUUGUUGUAAGAAAAAUAAUUUUAAACAAAAAUAAUUAGUAUUAAUAAAGAAAUUUAUAAAAGAUAAUAGUUAAUAGUAUUGUAAAAGAAUGUUAAUAUAUUAGUAAAAUAAUCAAAUAAUAGAAGUUAGAAUGUGCCUUGUGUAUCAUAAAAUAAUAAAUUAAUUUUUACAUAAAAUAAUCCCGAAAAAAAGGUAGUUAGAUUAUUAAUAAAGUUUUUGUAUUAACAAAAUUAAUAAUAAUAAUCUAGAGAUGAAAUAUCAGUCGAACUUUUAUAUCUGGUUUUAAAUAAAAUGAAUUUAAUUCAAGCUUUAUUUUAAAAAAAUAGAGUUAAAGAGUAAGGGGGUGAGCUUUUUACUCAAUUAUAAAAAAAAUAUAAAUUUAAAUAAAUAAUUCUUGAAAUUUAGGCUUAUAAGUAGCCAUUUUUUAAAAGUGUUUUAACUAAUAUUUGGAAUAAUUUAAUAUUUAAAAUAAUUUUAUUAUAGUAAUUUAAAACUAUUAAAAAUAAUAAUUAAAAGGUUAUUAUGUUCUUAUUAGUAUAAAUUUAUUUUAUUAAAAAAAUUUAUUUUAAUUUUAAAAAAAAUUAUAAUUUUAUUUGAUAUUUAAAAAGAACUCGGCAAAAAGAUUCUUGCCUGUUUAACAAAAACAUGUCUAUAUGAAGGUGUAUAUAGUUUGGCCUGCUCACUGAUUAAAUUAAAGAGCCGCAGUAUUUUGACUGUGCGAAGGUAGCAUAAUAAAUUGUCUUUUAAAUAAAGGCUUGAAUGAAAGGUUGGACAAAGUAUCAUCUGUUUCUUAAAUAUUUAUUGAAUUUGACUUUUAAGUGAAAAGGCUUAAAUAAAUCAAAAAGACGAUAAGACCCUAUAAAUCUUUACAAUAAAUAUAUUUUAUAUUUUAGUUUAUAAGUGAAUGAGAUAUAAAAAUAUAGGUUUGUUGCGCUGGGGCGGCGUAGAUAUAUAAAUAAACUGUCUAUAGUUUAAAUACAAUAAUCAUUGCUUAAUAUAAAUUGAUCCUUAAAUAGAUUAAAAGAUUAAGAUACUUUAGGGAUAACAGCGUUAUUUUUUUUGAGAGUUCUUAUCGAAGAAAAAGUUUGCGACCUCGAUGUUGAAUUAAAGUUUCUCUGUGGUGUAGCCGCUAUAAGAGAGAGUCUGUUCGACUUUUAAUACUUUACAUGAUUUGAGUUCAGACCGGCGUGAGCCAGGUUGGUUUCUAUCUUUUGUUAAAAAUAAAAUUAUUUUAGUACGAAAGGAUUAAAUAAUUAAAACAUUUUUAUAAUUUAGAAUAUUAAUAUCCUUUUAAAAAUUAAUUUA
rnacentral:rRNA from 1 species